UGGGGAAUUUUGCACAAUGGGGGAAACCCUGAUGCAGCGACGCCGCGUGAUUUAGAAGGCCUUCGGGUUGUAAAAAUCUUUUCUAUGGGAAGAAAAUGACAGUACCAUAGGAAUAAGGACCGGCUAAUUACGUGCCAGCAGCCGCGGUAAUACGUAAGGUCCGAACGUUGUACGGAAUCAUUGGGCGUAAAGGGUACGUAGGCGGGUAAGCAAGUUAGAAGUGAAAUCCUAUAGCUCAACUAUAGUAAGCUUUUAAAACUGCUCAUCUUGAGGUAUGGAAGGGAAAGUGGAAUUCCUAGUGUAGCGGUGAAAUGCGCAGAUAUUAGGAGGAAUACCGGUGGCGAAGGCGACUUUCUGGCCAUAACCUGACGCUGAGGUACGAAAGCGUGGGUAGCAAACAGG
rnacentral:rRNA from 1 species